rnacentral:rRNA from 1 species
AACGAGCGCUGGCGGCAUGCCUAACACAUGCAAGUCGAACGAGACCUUCGGGUCUAGUGGCGCACGGGUGCGUAACGCGUGGGAACCUGCCCUUAGGUUCGGAAUAACUCCCCGAAAGGGGUGCUAAUACCGGAUAAUGUCUUCGGACCAAAGAUUUAUCGCCUUUGGAUGGGCCCGCGUUGGAUUAGCUAGUUGGUAGGGUAAAAGCCUACCAAGGCGACGAUCCAUAGCUGGUCUGAGGGGAUGAUCAGCCACACUGGGACUGAGACACGGCCCAGACUCCUACGGGAGGCAGCAGUGGGGAAUAUUGGACAAUGGGCGAAAGCCUGAUCCAGCAAUGCCGCGUGAGUGAUGAAGGCCUUAGGGUUGUAAAGCUCUUUUACCCGGGAUGAUAAUGACAGUACCGGGAGAAUAAGCUCCGGCUAACUCCGUG